AAAGACUGCUGCAAUUUUCAUUAAGUGAUUGAGUUUAUGUGUCUUGGAACUGUGUCAAUCUUUGGGAUUUUAUUUAUGAGUCUAGAAGUGAAUAAUAUAAGUGUGUUGGAGUCUGCAGUGGUUGUAAUGCAAGGCGAAAAGAUAUUUCUCCCUUAAUAUCAAUCAUAUUACUAGCUUCUGUUAUCUGCAACAAAGACAUCACAUAUUGAGAAAAUGAUUGAAGAGGUUAGGUCUUAAGUAAUUGUUUAUUUAGAAGAGAAAUUAUAUAUAAAUUGAUAAUAUAGAGAGAGAAAUGAUUAGAUACACUUAUGGCAGGCACAAGAAGUAAAUUCAUUACCAUAAAUAUAAUAUUUAUUGAAUAAGGAUUCUUCUUUAAAGAAUCCCAAUUUAUUAGCAAUAUCCCUGUGAACUAGGAAUCUUCCUUAUUUUACAACCUUCAUUAUUUAUCAUAUUUUACUAGUUUUUAAAAGAAGAGAGUUAUUGUCUUAUUAAUAAAUUAAACAAAAUUUAUAUUUAAUUUGAGAUUUGGAUCUCACUCUAAUGAGUUUUAAGGUAUCAACUCCCUUUUCAGAGUUGAAUUCUAUAUAGGGUUGGCUGCUCAAUAAACCAGAACAAGGGAGAUAAUCCCUCUUCUCAACCUGACUUAAUUGUAAAGCUUUCAGUGACUUGGUCCAUCUCUAGGAAAAAAACAAAAUGGUAUCGGAUAAUUGUCUGAAGAUCCUUUAAUUUUACUUCAUCGAUGUGAACAAUUUUUUGCCAACCAGCCAACACCAGAGAUAGAUCAAGUUAGUCUAGCAGCCUUCCAGUUGCUCGAGGAAGCCCAAUUGUGGUAUUACAAGCUUAAGCAAGAAGAGUCAGAUAUCAAUUGGGACAAAAUUACCAAGUAUUGCUUAUUACGCUUUGGCCCUCCGGUACAAAGGUAAUCCUUCGGGAGACUUGGUUCAUUUAAGAUAGUAGUUCAUGGGUCGAGUCAUUCGAUCAAGUUCAAAGGUCUAUCCAAAAAUUAGGAGGAUUUAAACAAAAAUAUAAACUCAAAAAUGAGUUUAGACAAAAAAAAAAUUGAAACUUAUUUUCUAAAUAGGUCAAGUAAAUUUUUUUAAUCCCAACCCAAACAUGACUUAUAAAUCAUAUUUUUAACAAAUUAAGCAUUUAUUGGAUUUGGCUUUAAAAUCUGGAAACAAGGUUACUAGUUUGAAAAUAGGGCUUCGUCUUUUUCCUUUUUCUUUUUUUUUUCCCUCUGCCCAGUACUCCAAUCUGACGAAAUCUCAUGGAUUGGCAGGGCCUGGCCCCCCUAUGAGAGAACUAAUAAAUAAUAAAAAAAUAAAAAUUCUGCUUCUCUCAUGGAUCACAUAGAUUGGUACGUUAGAUCCGACGCCAACAAUUUCGUCCCUCCUGAAAUCCUGUAAAACCACCUAAAAUAUUAAAUCUUCGUAACAGAUGUAGACAAAAACAAGUGGGUUAGGACUCGAGAAGACCAAGUCAAUGACUCCAGAAAAAUGAGUCAUCAUCGGCUUAAACAUGGAGAUAGAAGAGGAGAGGAAGGUUGGAUAUAGAAGAAGUGGAGAGAGGGAGGUUGGCAGGCUGUUGUUGGCCGAAGGCCAGAGCCGAUACCGCCGCCCCAGCGGCCAGGGUUAGGCGGAGAAAACAGGUUUCUUUCUUCUUUCGGGGGUUUGGGUUUGAAUCAUGAAAGUGGUAAAGAACAC
rnacentral:lncRNA from 1 species